GUCGAACGCUGGCGGCGUGCCUAAUACAUGCAAGUCGAACGCAGUGGGGACGGGUGAGUAACACGUGGGUAACCUCCCAUCAGAGGGGAUAACACUUGGAAACAGGUGCUAAACCGAUACUGAUGGAUGGACCCGCGGUGCAUUAGCUAGUGGGUGAGGUAACGGCUCACCAAGGCCACGAUGCAUAGCCGGCCUGAGAGGGUGAUCAGCCACACUGGGACUGAGACACGGCCCAGACUCCUACGGGAGGCAGCAGUAGGGAAUCUUGGGCAAUGGGCGAAAGGCUGACCGAGCAACGCCGCGUGAAUGAAGAAGGUUUUCGGAUCGUAAAACUCUUUUGUUAGAGAGGCGGUAUCUAACGAGAAAGCAACGGCUAACUACGUGCCAGCAGCCGCGGUAAUAC
rnacentral:rRNA from 1 species